rnacentral:lncRNA from 1 species
AGCAAACCCUUUUCCAACAUCAAGUUUUGAAUAUAAGAGAUCUUUAUUGAACUUCAUUACUUAUGAAAAAGGGAAAAAAAACAUAAAUCAUAAUUCAAUUUGCAUAAUAAUAACAAACAUAAGUCAGUUCCGGACCUUCUUGUGAACUCUUUUUGCUCCAUUAUUAUUUACUUGUGGAGGGUUUGGACAGAAGCACUUGUGCGUAGUCAAAUCACAUUUGACAUCAGCGUCUAUGCAUUUCAUUGGGCAAUCGGCAUCCUUAGAGCAUGCGAACACGGCAUUACUUGAUUGUCCUACUAACAUAUAUAGACGUUGUUGAAUAAGUUAUUUAAAAGAAAAAAAAAUAACUACAUAAUAUAGGUAGAAUAAAUCUAGAUUGCUUACCUAACAAAAUAAGCAAAAAAGAGAUCAAGAAAAUCUUAAGGAAUGUUGCUUUCUCCAUUUUGUUUCAACUUUUGUGGUAGUAUUACAAUAACUAUAUG